rnacentral:tRNA from 1 species
GGGCAAGUAGCUCAGAUGGACAGAGCCACGCACUUCUAAUGCGUUGGUCGGGGGUUCGAGUCCCUCCUUGCCUG